GAUGAACGCUGGCGGCGUGCCUAAUACAUGCAAGUCGAGCGAACAGACGAGUAGCUUGCUCCUUCGACGUUAGCGGCGGACGGGUGAGUAACACGUAGGUAACCUACCUAUAAGACUGGGAUAACUUCGGGAAACCGGAGCUAAUACCGGAUAAUAUUUCGAACCGCAUGGUUCGAUAGUGAAAGAUGGCUUUGCUAUCACUUCUAGAUGGACCUGCGCCGUAUUAGCUAGUUGGUAAGGUAACGGCUUACCAAGGCAACGAUACGUAGCCGACCUGAGAGGGUGAUCGGCCACACUGGAACUGAGACACGGUCCAGACUCCUACGGGAGGCAGCAGUAGGGAAUCUUCCGCAAUGGGCGAAAGCCUGACGGAGCAACGCCGCGUGAGUGAUGAAGGUCUUCGGAUCGUAAAACUCUGUUAUUAGGGAAGAACAAACGUGUAAGUAACUGUGCACGUCUUGACGGUACCUAAUCAGAAAGCCACGGCUAACUACGUG
rnacentral:rRNA from 1 species